UACGAAGGGGGCUAGCGUUGUUCGGAAUCACUGGGCGUAAAGGGCGCGUAGGCGGCUUUAUAAGUCGGGGGUGAAAGCCUGUGGCUCAACCACAGAAUUGCCUUCGAUACUGCAUGGCUUGAGACCGGAAGAGGUUAGUGGAACUGCGAGUGUAGAGGUGAAAUUCGUAGAUAUUCGCAAGAACACCAGUGGCGAAGGCGGCUGACUGGUCCGGUUCUGACGCUGAGGCGCGAAAGCGUGGGGAGCAAACAGG
rnacentral:rRNA from 1 species